UGGGGGAUAUUGCACAAUGGGCGAAAGCCUGAUGCAGCGACGCCGCGUGGGGGAUGAAGGCCUUCGGGUUGUAAACUUCUUUUGCUCUGAACAAGGCGCACCAUGGGGUGUGUUGAGUGUAGGGGUUGAUUAGCGCCGGCUAACUACGUGCCAGCAGCCGCGGUAAUACGUAGGGCGCGAGCGUUGUCCGGAAUUAUUGGGCGUAAAGGGCUUGUAGGUGGCUGGUUGCGUCUGUCGUGAAAGCUCAUGGCUUAACUGUGGGUUGGCGGUGGGUACGGGCUGGCGUGAGUGCAGUAGGGGAGGCUGGAAUUCCUGGUGUAGCGGUGGAAUGCGCAGAUAUCAGGAGGAAUACCGGUGGCGAAGGCGGGUCUCUGGGCUGUUACUGACACUGAGGAGCGAAAGCAUGGGGAGCGAACAGG
rnacentral:rRNA from 1 species